UGAUUCCGGCGCCCUCUCCUCCGUCCCUACCCACUAUGCCUGUCGAGAUCCCGACGCUCCCUCCGACGUCGAUCCCACCCUCGAGGGGCAAAUCCCCACGAUCGAUCUCUCCGUGCUGACCGAAGGAGAUCCCGCCCGACGCUCGCAGAUGGUGCGGCAGCUCGGCCGGGCCUGCGAGGAGUGGGGCUUCUUCGUGGUACGUCCGCAGCUCGCAGCACCAAUUCUGCGUGCGCAUGCUGGCUUUACACUGAUCGACUCCGUGUGAUUGCAGGUUGUGAAUCAUGGCGUGCCGGAGACGGUGAGGGAGGCGAUGCUGGCUGCCGCCCAGGGGUUCUUCGACUUGGAGGAGGAGGAGAAGGCGGAGCAUUCGGGGAAGCAUGUCAUGGAUCCCAUCAGGUACGGCACCAGCUUCAACUCGAAGGUUGACGACGUUGGCUAUUGGAGGGACUACUUCAAGAUAGUUGUGCACCCCGCGUUUCAUUCUCCGGCGAAGCCUCUCGGUUUCAGGUAUUCCGAUGGCCCAAGUUCACUACUUUCUUCAUAAGUUCGACUCUGUGGCAUAAACGCAAACACUUACAGGGAGGCAUUGGGGCAGUACGCGGCUUGCACGAGGGUUGUGGGUAUGGAACUACUCAGAGGCAUGUGGGAGAGCCUGGAACUCGACGAUGGCUACAUGAAUAACGCCUUGGACCUCGACGCAUGCUUCCAGGUCUGUGUGGUCAACCUCUACCCUCCCUGUCCUCAGCCGGAGCUGGCCAUGGGUCUUCCUCCCCACUCCGACCACAGCCUUCUCACGCUCCUCCACCAGAACGGCGUCGACGGCCUGCAAGUCAAGCAUGGCAGCAAAUGGGUUCAUGUCAAGCCCCCACCCAACUCCUUCCUCGUGAACACUGGCGAUCAGAUGGAGGUAUAAGCUCUCUCACACACACCACUCCACAACUCCACUGGUUCUUGUGGCAAACUUGAGCUUGUUAUGAUGACUGUAAAACCAUCCAUGGAGGCAGAUUGUCACCAAUGGCAGGUACAAGAGCGUGC
rnacentral:lncRNA from 1 species